CGGGUGAGUAACGCGUGGGCAACCUGCCUUACACAGGGGGAUAACAGUUAGAAAUGACUGCUAAUACCGCAUAAGACCACAGUACUGCAUGGUGCAGUGGUAAAAACUCCGGUGGUGUAAGAUGGGCCCGCGUCUGAUUAGGUAGUUGGCGGGGUAACGGCCCACCAAGCCGACGAUCAGUAGCCGACCUGAGAGGGUGACCGGCCACAUUGGGACUGAGACACGGCCCAGACUCCUACGGGAGGCAGCAGUGGGGAAUAUUGCACAAUGGGGGAAACCCUGAUGCAGCGACGCCGCGUGAGCGAUGAAGUAUUUCGGUAUGUAAAGCUCUAUCAGCAGGGAAGAAAAUGACGGUACCUGACUAAGAAGCCCCGGCUAACUACGUGCCAGCAGCCGCGGUAAUACGUAGGGGGCAAGCGUUAUCCGGAUUUACUGGGUGUAAAGGGAGCGUAGACGGCGGUGCAAGCCAGAUGUGAAAGCCCGGGGCUCAACCCCGGGACUGCAUUUGGAACUGUGCUGCUAGAGUGUCGGAGAGGCAGGCGGAAUUCCUAGUGUAGCGGUGAAAUGCGUAGAUAUUAGGAGGAACACCAGUGGCGAAGGCGGCCUGCUGGACGAUGACUGACGUUGAGGCUCGAAAGCGUG
rnacentral:rRNA from 1 species